UCCUACGGGGCGCAGCAGUGGGGAAUAUUGCACAAUGGGGGGAACCCUGAUGCAGCGACGCCGCGUGGGUGAAGGAGUACUUCGGUAUGUAAAGCCCUAUCAGCAGGAAAGAAAAUGACGGUACCUGACUAAGAAGCCCCGGCUAACUACGUGCCAGCAGCCGCGGUAAUACGUAGGGGGCAAGCGUUAUCCGGAUUUACUGGGUGUAAAGGGAGCGUAGACGGCAGGGCAAGUCUGGAGUGAAAGCCCGGGGCUCAACCCUGGGACUGCUCUGGAAACUGCAAAGCUGGAGUGCGGGAGGGGCA
rnacentral:rRNA from 1 species